rnacentral:rRNA from 1 species
GACGUAGGGCGCGAGCGUUGUCCGGAUUUAUUGGGCGUAAAGAGCUCGUAGGCGGCUUGUCGCGUCGUCCGUGAAAACCCACGGCUUAACUGUGGGCGUGCGGGCGAUACGGGCAGACUGGAGUACUGCAGGGGAGACUGGAAUUCCUGGUGUAGCGGUGGAAUGCGCAGAUAUCAGGAGGAACACCGGUGGCGAAGGCGGGUCUCUGGGCAGUAACUGACGCUGAGGAGCGAAAGCGUGGGGAGCGAACAGG